rnacentral:misc_RNA from 1 species
UACGUAGGGUGCGGGCGUUAAUCGGGAUUACUGGGCGUAAAGCGUGCGUAGGCGGCGCUGUAAGACAGAUGUGAAAUCCCCGGGCUCAACCUGGGAACUGCAUUUGUGACUGCAGUGCUAGAGUGUGUCAGAGGGGGGUGGAAUUCCACGUGUAGCAGUGAAAUGCGUAGAGAUGUGGAGGAACACCGAUGGCGAAGGCAGCCCCCUGGGAUAACACUGACGCUCAGGCACGAAAGCGUGGGGAGCAAACAGG